AUUAUUAUUAUUUUUUUUUUUAAUUUUAGGGACAUCAAUGUUGAGGUGUGAGGAACUAUGGAUGGCAUAGCCGUAAACACCCAAAAUUAAAGAUGCAGUAGCUGUAGCAACUUGGUUUGUGUCUUAUUACAUAUUAGAGGUGCUUUGUUAGAAUAAAUCCAGUGUCUGGCUCCAAAGUAGAAAGGGAAAAGAUUGUUUAUCAGAAAUUCACCCAAGAUUUUAAGCUUUCUAUCUAUGACAGUUGGGUGAAAGAUUGUCGACAUUAAUAAAUUCAUCAAUUUUUUAUUCUUUCCUUCAUUCACAGGGUGCGUAACAUUUUAAAAAAGUGUUUAAAGGUGUUUAUUUUGCUUAUAUGAAAUGAUCUGUAGAAAUUAAUAAAGUCAUUUUUGUUAUUUGUAA
rnacentral:lncRNA from 1 species